GAUGAACGCUGGCGGCGUGCCUAAUACAUGCAAGUCGAGCGCAGCGGGGACGGGUGAGUAAUACGUGGACAACCUCCUAUAAGACUGGGAUACCCUCGGGAAACCGGAGCUAAACCGGUAACUUACAGAUGGAUCCGCGCUGCAUUAGCUAGUUGGUAAGGUAACGGCUUACCAAGGCAACGAUUCAUAGCCGACCGUAGAGGGUGAUCGGCCACUCUGGAACUGGUACACGGUCCAUACUCCUACGGUAGGCAGCAGUGGUGAAUCUUCCGCAAGGGGCGAAAUCCUGACGGGGAAAGGCCGCGUGGUUGAUGAAGGUCUUCGGUUCGUAAAGCUCUGUCAUUGGGGAGGCGGUACCUAAUGAGAAAGCAACGGCUAACUACGUGCCAGCAGCCGCGGUAAUUC
rnacentral:rRNA from 1 species